AUGGGCGCGAGCCUCCUGCAGGCGGUGGCGGCGCUGGUGAGCACGUGCACGCGGCGGCUGCAGCGGGCGGCGAGGAGGAUGGGCAGCGGCAGGCCGGCCGUGGCGCCGUGGAGGAAGGCCUUCUCGCUGCCGACGGGCAAGGGGAAGGCCGCGGCGGGGCCGGAGGAGGAGGGCGGGCUGUGGAGGAAGGAGAUACUCAUGGGGGAGCGCUGCCAGCCGCUGGAGUUCUCCGGGGUCAUCUACUACGACGCCGACGGACACCGCCUCGCGCAGCCGCCCCGCUCGCCCAUGCGCAGCCCGCUCCCGGCGUCCUUCAAGCUCGCCGCCAACGCCGGCGUCCGUUAG
rnacentral:rRNA from 1 species